UACGGAGGGUGCAAGCGUUAUCCGGAAUCAUUGGGUUUAAAGGGUCCGCAGGCGGGAAGAUAAGUCAGUGGUGAAAUCUCACAGCUCAACUGUGAAACUGCCAUUGAUGCUGUCUUUCUUGAGUUCGAUCGAGGUGGGCGGAAUGUGACAUGUAGCGGUGAAAUGCUUAGAUAUGUCACAGAACACCGAUAGCGAAGGCAGCUCACUAGGUCUGGAUUGACGCUCAGGGACGAAAGCGUGGGGAGCAAACAGG
rnacentral:rRNA from 1 species